rnacentral:rRNA from 1 species
GAGUUUGAUCAUGGCUCAGGAUGAACGCUGGCGGCGUGCCUAACACAUGCAAGUCGAACGGAGUUACGAUGAAACCUAGUGAUUCGUAACUUAGUGGCGGACGGGUGAGUAACGCGUGGAUAACCUGCCUUGCACUGGGGGAUAACACUUAGAAAUAGGUGCUAAUACCGCAUAAGCGCACGGAGCCGCAUGGCUCAGUGUGAAAAACUCCGGUGGUGUAAGAUGGAUCCGCGUCUGAUUAGCUGGUUGGCGGGGUAGAAGCCCACCAAGGCGACGAUCAGUAGCCGGCCUGAGAGGGUGAACGGCCACAUUGGGACUGAGACACGGCCCAAACUCCUACGGGAGGCAGCAGUGGGGAAUAUUGCACAAUGGGGGAAACCCUGAUGCAGCAACGCCGCGUGAGUGAAGAAGUCAUUCGUGAUGUAAAGCUCUAUCAGCAGGGAAGAAAAUGACGGUACCUGAGUAAGAAGCCCCGGCUAACUACGUGCCAGCAGCCGCGGUAAUACGUGGGGGGCAAGCGUUAUCCGGAUUUACUGGGUGUAAAGGGAGCGUAGACGGCCAGACAAGUCUGAAGUGAAAAUCCAGCGCUUAACGUUGGAAGUGCUUUGGAAACUGCCGGGCUAGAGUGCAGGAGGGGCAGGCGGAAUUCCUAGUGUAGCGGUGAAAUGCGUAGAUAUUAGGAGGAACACCAGUGGCGAAGGCGGCCUGCUGGACUGCAACUGACGUUGAGGCUCGAAGGCGUGGGGAGCAAACAGGAUUAGAUACCCUGGUAGUCCACGCGGUAAACGAUGAUUACUAGGUGUCGGGGGGCUAGAGCCCUUCGGUGCCGUCGCAAACGCAAUAAGUAAUCCACCUGGGGAGUACGUUCGCAAGAAUGAAACUCAAAGGAAUUGACGG